rnacentral:rRNA from 1 species
GACGAACGCUGGCGGCAUGCCUAACACAUGCAAGUCGAACGGUAAGGCUUCCUUCGGGAAGUACACGAGUGGCGAACGGGUGAGUAACACGUGGGUAGCCUACCCUUGACUGGGGGACAACCGAGGGAAACUUCGGCUAAUACCGCAUAACGUGCAUUGCCCCAAGGCGGUGUACCAAAGCUCCGGCGGUUAAGGAUGGGCCCGCGGCAGAUUAGCUUGUUGGUGAGGUAACGGCUUACCAAGGCGACGAUAUGUAGCUGGUCUGAGAGGACGAUCAGCCACACUGGAACUGAGACACGGUCCAGACUCAUACGGGAGGCAGCAGUGGGGAAUCUUGGACAAUGGGGGCAACCCUGAUCCAGCCAUGCCGCGUGUGUGAAGAAGGCCUUCGGGUUGUAAAGCACUUUCAGCAGGGAGGAAGGCUUUGGCCGAAUAGGUUGAAGUACUUGACGUUACCUGCAGAAGAAGCACCGGCUAAUUUCGUGCCAGCCGCCGCCGUAA